rnacentral:rRNA from 1 species
GCGAGUGAAGCGGCACAGCUCAAUUUGAAUCUGGCCCCAGGCCCGAGUUGUAAUUUGCAGAGGAUGCUUUUGGCGCGGUGCCUUCCGAGUUCCCUGGAACGGGACGCCAUAGAGGGUGAGAGCCCCGUCUGGUUGGAUACCAAGCCUUUGUAAAGCUCCUUCGACGAGUCGAGUAGUUUGGGAAUGCUGCUCUAAAUGGGAGGUAUAUGUCUUCUAAAGCUAAAUACCGGCCAGAGACCGAUAGCGCACAAGUAGAGUGAUCGAAAGAUGAAAAGCACUUUGGAAAGAGAGUUAAACAGCACGUGAAAUUGUUAAAAGGGAAGCGUUUAUGACCAGACUUGGGCCGGUUAAUCAUCCAGCGUUCUCGCUGGUGCACUUUGCCGGUCCAGGCCAGCAUCAGUUCGCUGCGGGGGAUAAAGGCGUCGGGAAUGUGGCUCCUCCGGAGUGUUAUAGCCCUUCGCGCAAUACCCUGCGGUGGACUGAGGUUCGCGCAUCUGCAAGGAUGCUGGCGUAAUGGUCAUCAACGACCCGUCUUGAAACACGGACCAAGGAGUCGUCUUCGUAUGCGAGUGUUCGGGUGUAAAACCCCUACGCGUAAUGAAAGUGAACGCAGGUGAGAGCUUCGGCGCAUCAUCGACCGAUCCUGAUGUUCUCGGAUGGAUUUGAGUAAGAGCAUACGGGGCCGGACCCGAAAGAAGGUGAACUAUGCCUGUAUAGGGUGAAGCCAGAGGAAACUCUGGUGGAGGCUCGCAGCGGUUCUGACGUGCAAAUCGAUCGUCAAAUA